UUUUGUAAAAAAUGAUACAUGUUCUGAGUAUUUCACCUUUAAAGUAUGGCUUAAUGAAAGCCAACUUUGGAGCUAUUUAUUCAGAUUGUUUUUUCUUGGUUUUAUGUUCCCAUGGAAACCUGUAUAGCAAAUAGGUUGUUCUGAGUGAGGCCUGGCCUGGUUCAGUUAAAUCCAAAGGCUUCAGUCAAUCUGGUUCACUGAAAUGACUAAUUUUCUGUCUCCCUAACCAUUAUCCCCUACAAUUCUGAUAGAUAAACCAGUGUUUAAGGGGCAGACAGAGAGGAGUUGCCUACUGAGAAGACUGAGAAGCAGCAGCCAGAGAGAGAAAAGGUGAAUUGGGAGCAAGGGAAUGUCUAUAUCAAUCAGGACUCAUUGGUGGCAAAUAACAGAAGCCAGUGCAAACCGACUGAAGGAAAGAAAGGAAUGUCUUACACAGAUACAGGAGUAGUCAGAUAUGCAGAUAUAGGCAUGUAACUGGAAUUUGUGGCUAGAACAUUUUGGGAAAUCCAAUAACUUCAUUUUUCUUCUCUAUUCCAAAAUACUUGGGAAGUCACUGGUUGGUCUUGCUUGGUGAGGCCCAGCCCUGGGUGGUCAGCCCUGGCAGGAAGCGGGAGGGCUGCAAGUACAAAAACAGGGUGGUUGGGGGCCAAACUGGGUUUUAAGGGCAUUUCCUAGAAAAGAAGACAUUGUUGGCCAGGCUCUAAGAGGGAUUUAUCACAGUGAUGUCAAGACACUGAGGAAAAGAGUUUCAGGAUAUGGGAUGGGUUGCUGUGAUAUACAGCAGGAGGUCAAAUGAGAGGGGAAAAAUACUCCUUGGAUUUGGCAUUUGGACUGUCAAUGGUAACUUUAGCAGGAUUGCUUUUAGUGGAGUGAGGGCAGGGGAUUCAGGAGAGAGUGAGAAGAAAGGGGCACAAAGAUCUGUGUCCUAGAAGCUUGCUUUGAAAGGAAAGAGAGAUGUCCACUAGCAGCUAAGGUUUAAGGUGGAAGAGACUUUUGCUAAGGCAGGGAUUCUUUACCUGGGCUCCAGGGCUCUGGGAAUCUCUCAAGCCUUUGGAAAUAGCAUGUAAAUUUACCUGCUUCUCAAAGAGAUUUGUGAUCCACACAUACUAAGAACCACCGUGCUAAAGGAAUGGUGGCAAUAGAAAGGGAGAAGUGAAGGAAAUGGGAGAGGUGAUAGACAGCUUGAGGAGGGGGCCAGAGUAGGAGCCAGAACACAAGAAGGAUGACCUUUGUUGGGAAGAGGAUGGUUGGUUUAUUUCUUCUUCUGAGGGGUGUGGGGGCUGGGAGGGAGGAUAUGAAAUUCAGGGCAGGUGCAGAUGUGUUUGUAGGUAGGGUGGUAGGGAACUGUGAGAUUCAUUCCUGAUAGAUUUCAUUGCUUUCUCUUUUGUUUUUGGUCCAGCUUGGCCUCGCAGCAGGCUAGAAUAGCUCUUCCUACAGAUAGUUGGUCAAGAGAUGGUCAUAAUCUGUUUUUUUACUUAGGCUUAUCAUUGGGUUUUCUGUCUCCAUGAUCACUCUUGACUGAUGUGCCUUGUCGCUUGAGCCUGACAUCCAUGGUGAGUUAGAACCUGAGCUAUGCUGAGCUCUCCUUCUACCUUAUCCUGGAAGACCUUCUACAGUUCCCUCACUACUCCUUGUCUGUGAAGCUGACGGUAUUAACAAUUAAUUGCACCUUUUCCCUUUCCCUAAAGGGAAGCGGCAUGCAGGGAUUUCCCCCAGUUUGGGGCUUCCUGUAUUGGACUCUCCUGGCGGAUUGUGAGUCAGUAGGCAUGAAUCAAGAGAGUAGGUGCUUGUAUGGGUGGACGUUCAUUGGAGUUAACUGAUUCACAGUGAGUGACCUUUGUUUCUUAAAUGAUCUUGAUCCAGAAGGUAGGAAAGUAUGUCCUCUGGAUAUAAAAUCUGAACUUCUCUUCUCAUGGAAUAAUCUCAGCUCAGUCUUUUAGGUUUUUCAUGCCUUAAUUUCACCAUCGGCAAAAUCAAAUAAUAUUUUCCACUUAUGUUAAUGGAGUACUAUGUCUCUUGACAUUUCUGAGAGGUAUCAUGAGAACAAACUGUUUAACGUAUUAUUGUUAAAGAAAAAGCUGGAAACCCUUAUAAGCCACUCCUCUGAUCUGAAUGUUCUAGCUGCCAUUGUGGAAGAACCGGUUUCUGAAAGAAAAGCUUAGUGACAUUCUUUAGGAAAUCUUACUUAUGGGACAGUACUCAUAUGCCAGAAAGAGUGCACUUAUUUUUAAUUUAAAGCCUUUUUUUUUUUUUUUUGGAGAUAGGGUCUCACUCUGUCACCCAGGCUAGAGUUCAGUGACAUGAUCAUGGCUUACUGCAGCCUUGACCUCCUGGGCUUAAGCCAUCCUUCUGCCUCAGCCUCCUUACUCACUUGUCAUCAUACCAGGCUAAUUUUUUUUUCAUUUUUAGUAGAGACAAGGACUCACAGUGUUGCCUAGGUUGGUCUUGAACUCUUGGGCUAAAGUGAUCUUCCUGCCUUGGCCUCCCAAAGUGCUGGGCUUUCAGGCAUGAGCCACCACACCUGCCCCAUAAUGGCAUUUUUGACGUAAAGACAUGUAUCUUUCUGCUUUUGAUUUUCACAGAUUCUUGAAGCUGGUAUCCUUUCUAUACUACUAAGAUUCCCUUUAAGAAUAAUUUAAUAGUAAUAAAUCAGCAAUCAUUAAGCUACCUGGGACUUACCUGUACUUUUAAAAAAUGUUGCAUUCAAUUUAUUAUUUUUUAUUUUUUGACAUAGAAUCUCGCCCUGUCACCCAGGCUGGAGUGCAGUGGCGCCAUCAUGGCUGACUGCAGCCUCAACCUCCUUGGGCUCAAGCAAUCCUCCCAUGUCAGCCUCCUGUGUAGCUGAGACUACAGGCUCAUGCCAUCAUGCCCAGCUAAUUUUUGUAUUUUUUGUAGAAAUUGGGUAUUGCUGUGUUGCCCAGGCUGGUCUUGAUCUUCUGGGCUCAAGUGAUCCACCCACCUGGGCCACCCAAAGUGCUGGGAUUACAGGCAUGAGCCACCAUGCCUGGCCAAUUUAUUCUUUAAAAUUUUUUUAAUUUUAAAAAAUUGUGGUAAAAUUACAUAACAUGAAACUUACCAUUUUAAAGUAUACAGUUCAGUGCCAUUAAGUAUAUCACAUUGUUGCACAACUAUCACCACGAUCCAUGUCCAUGAUUAGCUGAACUUCUUUAGAAAUAAAAGUAAAUGAUCUGUUUGUUGGCUUCAGUGACUUCAUCUGCUGGGGAUCUGUAAAAAGGUGGUAGGCUGAGUAACUCCUCAUUCCUUUUUUUUUUUUUUUGAGAUGGAGUCUCCCUCUGCCACCCAGGCUGGAGUGCAGUGGCGCGAUCUUAGCUCACUGCAACCUCCACCUCCCAGGUUCAAGAGGUUAUCCUGCCUUAGCCUCCCAAGUAGGUGGGAUUACAGGUGUAUGACACCAUGCCUGACUAAUUUUUGUAUUUUUAGAGGAGAUGGGGUUUCACCAUGUUGGCCAGGUUGGUCUCGAACUCCUGACCGCAGGUGAUCUACCUGCCUUGGCCUCCCUAAGUGCUGGGAUUACAGGUAUGAGCCUCUGUGCCUGGUCUCAUUCCUUAGAAACCUCUUACUUUUGAGGAAUGGUUCCGAAAUGAAAUUCAAAGAUGUGAAGAACAAGAUGUCCUCAUUAAUGACGGAUGUUGUCGGGGUCCACAGUAGUUUAGGAUUCCUAUUCCAGCUCAACUUGCAGGUUUGGACAGCUGUCCUUUGCGGACAAGAUUAAGUGAUUUUAAUUUGGAGGGCAGAGGAGAGUUUCCAGCUUUCUGUAACUUCUGCAGGAGUUCCAGCUUCUGUAACUUCUAAGCUCUACAGAAGAGGGCUCAGAAGAGCUUAGUAACAAUGGUGGUAGCAAUAUCUUAAGGCUCAAAUUAGCUGGCCUCAGCAUUGGGGAAGCAGGAGGAGGGAGCAAGAAGGUGGCUGUGAGGGAAUGAAGUGGCACAGGAUCUGUCCUCAGGGAAGAAGAAGGGUGCUGUCCCAGCCUGCUGACAGGAGGGAAGAGAGAUCACACUCAUGGAGUUGAAAUCAGUUCAACAUCCUGUUGGUAACAUCUCCUUUUUUCCCCAUACAGUCUAAGAAAUGCAGUUAGCUGGGGUUGGGAUGGUUAAGUUUGAGUAUUAGAACUCUGGUGCUCCUCAACUCUUUCCCUAUGAUUCAGUCUUUCUCUGGCAUCAUAUGAAAGAAAAAUAUCUUCUCCACAAUGAUUUGCUCAAUCCCUGCUCCCUAAAGACCUGCUUGUUCUAAGUGUGGCCUCAUCCAUACUCACCUGAUUUUAUCAAAGUAUGUUGAUGACAGGUGUUAGAAAUUUCACAAUUUACAGCUGCAACAACAGAAAAUACUGUACCAAAGGCCAACACAGAGAGGAUCCAGGAAUUCCCUUGGCUGGAUUAAAUGUCUUUUUUGCAAGACAGAGUUGUUUUUCCCUUUGAUGUGGGUAUGAAAGCUUGCUCUAUGUGUUUGUGGAGGUAAGUUGCUGUGGUGUUGGUCAGUGGCUCUCCCAGGGAUAAAAAAGGGUUUCCUUCUCAUUAAAUUAAGGAGGCCUCUGCAAAUGAGGUCUGAAGAUUCUGGACUUGACAAAACCCAGCAUUGCCCUGUUGUCCAGAGAGUGCCAGCAUAGCCUGCCCCUGGGACACCUCUCUCCUUAGCUGGCCAUUCACUGCUUCUGUGAUAUUGUGUCGGAUGAGGCCACCCUCUUCCCCAUUUGUAAGCUCCUCUCUGUAGCAUGGGAAGCCUGGAGGUGGAAUGGAGAACGUGACCUCCUUGUUCAUCAUUCACACUGAUUCAUGAGAAACAUGGAAGGAAACAUAUUUGAAACCGUAGUAGUGAAAUAUUUAGAGAGAGCAAAAAAUUGGUUGGUGGGUUGACUAAUAUGUCUGUUAGUCUGUUUCUGUCUCUUCCCUCUUCCUCUUUCCUCUCUCUGUGUCUCUUUCCGUGUGUGUGUGUGUGUGUGUGUGUGUGUGUGUGUGUAUUUGUGUGUCUGACUCUUCAGUCUCUCUCUCUUGCUGUAUUUGUCUUUCUCUCUCUGUCUCAUGUCUUUCUAUGUGUGUCUUGGUAUGUUUGUCUCUUUGUAUCUUGUUUCUCUGAGAUCCUACUGUGUGCCAUGUCCUACCUGGAGGCUAAGUGUCUAAAAGCAAUUGACACAUUGUCAGUAAUCAUGGUAACAACAGUAACUAGCAAUAUUGCUAUUUCUUAGCAUUUAAGAACUUUGUCCACAUUAUUGCAUUUAAUCCUCACAACAGCUCCAUGUGAUGGUUACAACGUUAUCCAUUUCACAGACAAGAAGACUGUAGUUCAUCUAAGUUUAUAACUUGCCGUAAUUCAUGUAGCUUACAAGGACUUAGGUCUGUAUGACCCUGGAACCCAUAUUCUUUUUUUUUUUUUUUUUGAGACGGAGUUUUGCUCUUGUUGCCCAGGUUGGAGUGCAAUGGUGCAAUCUCAGCUCACCACAACCUCCGCCUCCUGGGUUAAAGCAGUUCUCCUGCCUCAGCCUCCCAAGUAGCUGGGAUUACCGGCAUGCACCACCACAUCUGGUUAAUUUUGUAUUUUUAGUAGAGAUGGGGUUUCUCCAUGUUGGUCAGGCUGGUCUUGAACUCCCGACCUCAGAUGAUCUGCCUGCCUCGGCCUCCCACAGUGCUGGGAUGACAGGUGUGAGCCACCAUGCCCAGCCAGAACCCAUACUCUUUGCUGUUGCCUUUUAGUGCCCUUUAGCUGGUAACUUGAGCUCCUAGGGACUUGAGGCUUCCUAUAGGAAUGUUUUAUGAUAUCUAUUUGAUUCUAGAAUAUUAAUUUGUUCCAGGUCUAGGAAGCAAUGUACAGCUGUGAAAUUUAUUUAUUUAUUUAUUUAUUUAUUUUUUGAGACCAAGUCUUGCGCUGUCACCCAGGCCUGAGUGCAGUGGCACAAUGUUGGCUUGCUGUCUCCCAGGUUCAAGCAAUUCUCUUGCCUCCUGAGUAGCUGGGACUACAUGUGUACAACACCACACCUGGUUAAUUUUUGUAUUUUUAGUGGAGACGGGGUUUCACCACGUUGAGCAGGCUGGUCUCGAACUCCUGACCUCAGGUGAUCCACCCGCCUCGGCCUCCCAAAGUGCUGGGAUUACAGGCAUAAGCUACCGCGCCCAGUCGUAGCUAUGAAAUUUAAUUGAGAGAGAGAGUGUGUGUGUGUGUGUGUGAGAGAGAGAGAGAGAGAGAGUGAGAGAAACAGAGAGACUUAGAGGCAAAAAUAAAAAUUAGCUAGAAAGAGACAGACAGACAGACGUGAGACAGAAAGGGAGAUACAGUAAGAGAACCUGAGGGAAAGACAGAGACAGACAAAUGCACAGACUAACAGACAUACCAGCCAAUCCACCCAUCAAGUCACUUGCUCUUUCUCAAUUUUCUUUCACUAGUAAGGGUCUAGUAUAAUGUUUCCUUACAUAUUUCUUACGAAUCAACACGAAUGUGAACAAUGGUGUCCAGUAUUAUUUUGUGCUGUGGGGAAUAUAAAAUAUUAGCAAGAAUUUGGCAACUCUAAAGUACAGAGAAACCUAAAUAAAGGCUUUUGUUUGUGCCUAACAGUAGACUAUUACAAAACAAUUAUUUAAAUGUCUUACAUACUUAACAUAAGUAAUCAAGCAUAGGCUUUGGAGUUGGGCUUAUGAAAUUCAUAUUCCAGCUUCAUUUAUUAGUGUAAUUUUAAGUAAGUUAUUGAAGUCUGAGUCUCCGUUUUCUGAUCUGUGAAAUGGCAAUAAUAAUGGUACCUAUUUUGUGGAGUCCUUGGGAGUUUUUAAAGAGAUGAUGUUGGCUGGGCGCGGUGGCUCAUGCCUGUAAUCCCAGCACUUUGGGGGGCCAAGGCAGGUGGAAUACCUGAGGUCAGGAGUUCGAGACCAGCCUGGCCAACAUGGUGAAACCCCGUCUGGUAGAAUAUAAAAAUUAGCCGGGCAUGGUGGUGCAUGCUUGUAAUCCCAGCCACUCGGGAGGCUGAGGCAGGAGAAUCACUUGAAUCCGGGAGGUGGAGGCUGCAGUGAGUGUAGAUUGAGCCAUUGCACUCCAGCCCGGGCAACAGAGCGAGACUCCAUAACAAAAAACAAAUAAAAACAAAACAACAACAACAACAACAACAGCAACAGAGAUGAUGUCCAACAGUGUUUGACACAACUAAUUUAGCCAUUUUUAUUUUAUCACUAGUGCUGACAAGUAUAACGUAAUUUAAAAAUUAACUGAAUAAACGUAUCUGCUCUUAAUAAGUAGUAGCUGCAUUGUCCUACUUGUAGAACUCAGAUGCCUAGUUUUAGGGAGCACUGUCCUCAGUGCAAGCACUGUGGUGACCUGGACUCUGCUGCCCUGACACGUACAGUUUGCUUAUCAAGCAACUAUUACCCUGGCACCUACCAUUUCUGAGCCUUAGGAAAGCCCUAUUUACAAUGCCACUUAAGGAAUGUGCUCUCUCCCUUGAGUUCUUAUGCAAGAUCUUUUUUGAAUGCUUAAAGAGAGAAUAAUAAUAAUAAUAAUAAUAAUAAUGAUAAGAAGAAAAAGAAGAAGAGGAAGAAAGAAAAAGGAAGAAGGAGGAGGAGAGGAGGAGGAGGAGAGCAAAUCAGUAAAUCACUUAAGUAAAAUUUGCCCUGCAAAGAAGUUAGGGCAUCUUGGUCCUAUCUUGUUCUCCCCCUCACCAAAUUGGUGCCACUUCCUGAACACACUGGGUGCUUUCACAUACUGGUGCAUUUGCUGGCAUGGUUCUGCCUGGCCUGGAUGCCCUUCCCUUCAUUUCUCAACACUUCCCCCGUCAAAAGCCAAGGAACUCCGUUGUGUAGCUUUCUCCAACACCCACAGAUGGAAUUAAUACUUCCCUCUUCUGUAGACCCACACCACUCUGGAAACACCCCUAUCAUGCAGUUUAUUAUAGUCCGCCUAAUUAGAAGCAUGGUGUUUGUCCACUCUGGUUGACCAUGAGCUCCUUGCAGACUGGCAGUAUUUUAUCUUCUUUGUAGUCUUAACAGGUGGGGCAGAGCCUCUGAUGAUUCUGGGGGAAAAGAGUGAAAUCACCUUUUGCUGUUUGUCAUGUUCUAAAGCUUCCUUUCCUUUGCUAAAUACUUACCAGGAGAGCCCUACCAUCAUGGCUUAAGCAUUGUCCCACAGCAAGGGACUAACCAGGGCAGGGAGGUAGAUAGUUUUGUAUUUCAUAUAUGGCUUGUAUUGUGCCAUGAGAAUAUUUGCAGGCUUGUUACUUUGAAGUGCCUCUGUCAGAGACUAGAGGAAGCCUGAUUCUCAAGCCCAAAUGAGAUAGAAAACUUGUCAUUGAUACCAUAACUGCCAGUCUUCUUGGAUAUCAUAGGCGAGGCAGGUCAGCUCAAGAGAGAAGUGCUUCCUGGUGGUGUUUGCCAUGCCUGAUUGUGGAUAAAACCAGUAUAACCCAGCAUUUUCUACACUUGUUUGAAUGCACGAAAUCUAGUGGGCAAAGAUUGAGAAAGGCAGCCUUUAAUUGGUGGGUGUGGUGUAAGGUUGAUUGAGUGUGGUGGAGUUGUGAGUAGACUUGCCUGCAGAGAAGUAAAACAGAUGGAAAUUCCAUGGCCUCGUAAGUGAGUUUUUAUCUCUAUUUAAAAUCUUUCUCAUUUCUUCAACUUACGGUUAUGAAAUAUUUCAAACACACAGAAAAGUCGAAAGAUUAUUAUGGUGUAAUCCCAUAUGCCCUCCACAUAAAUUUCACAAUUGUUAAUAUUUUGCAAUACUUGCUUUAUUUUUCUCUCUGUACUUUGGUUUUCUUUUUUUUGUGCCAUUUGAAAGCAAAUUAUGUACACAUGAUGACACAACACUUUUCGACAUUCAGCAUUUCAUCCCUUAAGAAUACAGAUAUUUAUCUACAGAAACAAAAUGUCAUUAUCCCUGCUAAGAAAAUUAACUAUCUAAAAUCAACUAAAUAUUUAAAUUUCCGGUCGGGCAUGGUGGCUCACACCUGUAAUCUCAGCACUUUAGGAAGAUUGCUCGAGCCUAGGUGUUCAAGGCCAGUCUGGGCAAUAUAGUAAAAUGACGUCUCUUAAAAAAAAAAAAAAAAAAAAGGCAAGAGUGGUGGUGCAUGUCUAUAGGCCUAGCUACUCAGGAGGCUGAGGUGGGAGGAUCACUUGAGUCCAGGAGGUUGAAGCUGCAGUGAGCUAUGAUGACACCACUCACGGCACCCCAGCUUAGAUGACAGAACGAGACCCUGUCUCAGAAAAACAAACAAACAAACAAACUGCAUUAAUUCCUCCAAAAUGUCUUUGUAGCUGUUUCUCUCAAAUUAAUGCGUACAUUACAUUUUAAAACUUCAUUUUAACAUAGAAUGUUUUAUCCCUCUUUUUUUCCCUCCAUGACAUUGACCUUUUGAAGAAUCCAGGCUCGCAGCCUUAUAGAAUGUCCCACAUUCUAGAUUGUGUUUUCUCUUGAUGUUAACCUGUUCCUCCUUCCCAGUAAGUUUUAACCCGGGCUGUACAUUAGAAUUCCUUGUCUUGAUUAAUUGGCCUUACAAAGAAGCAGUAAUAAAUUGGUCCACUCUGUUCUCACUGGGGGUUUUAAAUACAAAACUAAAAACUUAGAAAUUUCAUAUAAAUGUUUGAGUGCUGCUCUAAUCCAGUUAAAUCAGAAGCCCUUGGGAUGCAGCCCAGUUGGCCCUACUUUCAAAAAUCUCCAGGUGGCUCUAAUAUGAGGUCAGAAGUAAGAACCACUGCUCUAUCUCCUGUAUAUUCUUUAAACUAGAAGUUAGAUUCAAGUAUACGUUUUUGUUCAGAAUAUCUUAACUGUACAUUACAAUCAUGUGGGAAGCUUUAAAAAAUACUGAUGCUUGGCAACUCCGGCCCCCGCCCCUGCCCAAGUAGAUUCUGCUGUAGUUAGCAUUAGGAGUUUGAAAAGCUCCUCGGGUGAUUCUAAUGCAAUUAAGAAGCGCUACUGCCUUAGAUUAGGUUCUUGAAUUUGCAUCAUAUCAGGAAGCAUGUAAUGCCACAGUGUUCCAUUUUUUGUGAUGUGAAAUUCAAUCACUGGAUUAAAGUGGUCACCACCAUACCUCUCCAUUUCAAAGGUACAGUUGCUCUUCUUUGUUUAUUUUAUAUAUUUUUUGAGAUGGAGUCUUGCUCUAUCACCCAGGCUGGAGUGCAGUGGCGUGAUCUCAGCUCACUGAAACCUCUGCCUCCCGGGUUCAAGAAAUUCUUCUGCCUCAGUCUCCCAAGUAGCUGGGACUACAGGCAUGCGCCACCAUGCCCAGCUAAUUUUUGAAUUUUUAGUAGAGACGGGGUUUCACCAUGUUGGCCAGGCUGGUCUCGAACUCCUAACCUUGUGAUCCGCCCACCUUGGCCUCCCAAAGUGCUGGGAUUACAGGCAUGAGCCACUGUGCCUGGCCCAGUUUCUCUUCUUUGUAAAAGUAAGUGGUCCCUGGGAUGGUACUUUGGUACUCUAGGGAUAGCCCGUAUGCUAACAAGUUUUCAUCCAAAGGUUUUGGCUUCCACUGGUGAUUGUUACAUGAAUCAAUGAUUAUAUCAGGGGUUACAAAAUGGUGAUCUUCGAAUUUUGUCAUUUCUUUUACAUUUAUGAGUGUCUUACUUUUGUAAAGAAGAGCUGUCCUGUUUAUCCUCCCCACUCCCUGCCCUGGGAUUCACGUAUCUUCAUUAAUAAACAGCUACCAUCAUUAUCCUUUUUGACGUUAAAUUGUAUCCAAUUUGGCCAGUGGGAAACCCUUCAAGUUGGCUAUUUAUUUAUUGAGAUGGAGUGUCACUUUGUUGCCCAGGCUGGAGUGCUGUGGUGCGAUCUUGGCUCACUGCAACCUCCGCCUCCUGGGUCCAAGCAAUUCUUCUGCCUCAGCCUCCUGAGUAGCUGGGAUUACAGGUGCCUGCCACUGUGCCUGGCUAAUUUUUGUAUUUUUAGUAGAGACGGUGUUUCACCAUGUUGGCCAGGCUGGUCUCGACCUCCUGACCUCAGGUGAUCUGCCCACCUUGGCCUCCCAAAGUGCCGGGAUUACAUGCAUCAGCCACUGUGCCCAGCCUACAAGUUGGCUUUUUAAAAAGUAAAUGAUUUUUACAUUGAAAUAUAACAUAUAGAUAAAUGCACAAAAAAUCAAGUCUGUAGUUCAAAAAAUGUUCAUAAAGCAAACACAUGAAUAGCUAGCUCCUAGAUCAAGAAACAAAACAUUACCAGGAGCCUGAAGCCCCAAUCACACCCUCUUCCUAUCACUUUUGUCCCCACACCAGUAACCACCAGCUUUACUUCUAAAGCUAUUGAUCAGUUUGCCUGUUUUGGAAUUUUGUGUCAAUGGAAUCAUAUCACAUGUACGCUUUUCUGUCUGGCUCCUUUGCACGUCUGUAUGCUCAUGAGAUUCACUCUUGUGUGUGCAGCUGCAGUUCUUUGUUUUUCAUUGCUCCUGCCAUUUAUUUAUUCAUUCUAGUGUAGGUGGACAUUAAGGAUGAUUCCAGGUUUUGACUAUUAUGUGCCCCUAUGAACAUUCUGGUACUUGGGGUCAACACAUUUUUUUGGGUGAGGGGAAUGGGGGUAGAAGUGGAAUUCCUUGCUCAUAGGGUAUGUUUACUUUGGUAGAGGUCGCCACACAGUUUUCCUCCUGUUUUCUUUUGAUAUAACCCCCUUGGUCCUUACGUACUUCUUUUACUUUCUGGCAGAAGAUGUCCUUGGCUCAUCUUUUGUGUUCUCUGCCCGAGCCCUGGAACCAGCCAUUUCUCUGAGGAUUUCUCGUCCUUUUGAAUAGGGAACUGUAUUUAAAAGCCGAGGUGUGGGUACUAUUUGUGCUCAGCACUACUGGGAUCUCAUUGCUCUUAGUUCCUUUUAGUGGACAAAGCUCAGAAAUACACAAUCAUGUGUUUGAACAGAGAGUUCCAAUUUCAACUUUACAGAGUUGUUUUUUCCCUUCUUAACUCUGUUUUAUGUUAUCUAUCAUCUAAUUUCUCUUAUGUUGAAAAUCUUUGUUCCUAAUAACAUCAAUAUAUUUUAUUUGCUUUCUUCUACAUUUUCAUAAAACAGUUUUGAAGUCACAAUACUAAUACUACUGACAAUAUUAUGUGAGUAAAAUAAUAUAUGAAUAUGCGUAAGCUUCAGAUUUCUUUGCGGUUCUUUUUGUCUCUUGUGAGCAACUUCGAUACUAAGUUAAAUGGCUUAAACUAAUGUGGAGAAUGAGGAAUUUAUCUAGCGGUUCAAGAAGUGAGGGUGUUCUGCUGAGAAUGUAGACUGUGUGCCUUCUAGAUGAUUGCAGCUGUUGAGCUCCCACUGUGGGCUUUUUUUCCCUCUUUUUUUUUUUUUUUUUUGAGAUAAAGUCUUGCUCUGCCCCCCACGCGGGAGUGCAAUGGCACAAUCUCAGCUCACUGCAACCUCCGCCUCCCGGGUUCAAGUGAUUCUCCUGCCUCAGCCUCCUGAGUAGCUGGGAUUACAGGUGCCUGCCAUCACGCCCAGCUAAUUUUUUUUUUUUUUGUAUUUUUAGUAGAAAUGGGGUUUCACCAUGUUGGCCACGCUGGUCUCGAACUCCUGACCUCAAGUGAUCCACCCACCUUGGCCUCCCAAAGUGCUGGGAUUACAGGCGUGAGCCACCGUGCCCGGCCUUUUUUUCCUUUCUUUAACUCCCUUUCUGAAGGUUUUCAGGGUUUCCAGUGAGAUGAGGUGCACAGCUGGGGGCAGUAUGUCCUUCUCUCACUUGGAGGUUCUCUGGUCAACAUCCUCCCUUCACUCUGAUCGUGAUGGUUAAUUUUAUGUAUCAAGUUGACUGAAUUAUUGUGCUCAGCUAUUUGCAAAUCUAGAUGUUGCUGUGCAGGUAUUUUAAAAAUAGGUGACUAACAUUUAAAUCAGCGGACUUUGGGGAAAGCCGAUUGCCCUCCACAAUAUGGGUGGGUCUCACUGAGUCAGCGGAAGGCAUUAAAAGACUCAGGUCCCUUGAAGAGGAAGGAAUUCUGCCUCCAGAUCGCUGUCAGACUUAAGACAUCAACUUAUUGCUGGACUCGCCAGCCUAACUCGUGGAUUUCAGACUUAUCAGCUCUCAUGAUUGUGUGAGCCAAUUUCUUAAAUUAAUCUCUGUCUCCCUACUUCCCCCACCCUAUUGGUUCUGUUCCUAUGGAGAACCGUGAUGAUGACACUGGUUAUCUCAAACCUGAUAACAAAUGUUUGGGGAUCUCUGCUAUGUGCCCCAGUAGUGGCAUCAUGGUGAGAAGCAGACUGUAGUCAUCCAGGAAGGAAAGGAACAGAGUGGGAUGAUAAAGGGCCCCGUUAAGGGAGUGGAUGCAAGAAAUGAUGUGUAAGAACCUAUCUCCCCUCCCACUCUGAACUUGGCUAACAUGGUUACCAGCAAACAGCAGGUAUGAUCCUUGUUUGAUUUGGAACCAGGGUGUCCUCCUGGGCUAGGAGCAGCUUAGUGUGCCCUGCUUUGAUGAGAGGAAAAGGCUCUCUAUGACUCUCACACACCUCCUGGGGCCCUUGACUUACAGUUCCUGUCAACUGCUCUCAUGUGGGACAGGCUGUGCACACCACACCUGGUGUGGCUCACUUUCGGGAAGUGCUUCCCCUUGGCAGUGGGAGAAGGCAGAGCAGAAUCUAAUUGCUUUCAUUGCUUAAUGGGUAAAGACCAAGCUGUUUGUUAUAAGAGGGUGUAUAGGAUUUUCUCCAGUUCUUCCUUCCUAAUUUCUCUUUCACCUUACUCCUCCCCAGGAGCAGACUUUGGUAAAAUUGUGGAAAACAUAGACAUAAUGAAUAUAAUAAUGUACUGAACUUAUGCUAUGAGCCAGUGAGUAUAAGUAAUGGAAAACUUUAUUUCUGAGGACACUCGAUUCUGGGAUCAAAAGGCUACUCCAGUGAUUCCCAGGAAGGUUCUGCUACUGCCAUUCCAGGGAGGAGUUGGGACCUUGGGAAGUAGACAGGAGAGGGGAAAGGACCAGGGUGGAGGAAGAGAAGAGAGAUCAGAAUGCAAAGUGACCCCAGGUAUCAAGGGACUGGAUGGGAAAAAGCUGCAAUGUUUUACACAACCUUCUAAAUGCAUCUGUAAACAUCUUUUAGCAAGAUUCCCCUCAGUAAUUGACUGAACCCACAUACCCUCCUACAGACAUAACCAAGGGGUGACAUAGAUCACCAGUCUAGAGGAAAGCUGCCACAGUCUUGCAGGGGGUUGAAAUCAGGCUUGUUUGCUCUGUUUAGUUUGGGUUUGGCAGAGUUGCACAGAGGAGGAGCACGGCAUCUACUCAUGAAGCUGAUGGUCAGGUUCCCAGACCAUUGCACGUUAGAAACUCGGUGAAAUUAAAUUGGCAUCUCUUGGGUGAGGCCCAAGCAAGGGUAUUGUUUAGGUCCUCAGAUGAUUGUAAUGUGCACUCUGAAUCCCUGCCAUCACCAACUCAUAGAGGACAUGCUCUACAGCUACAGCCCAGAGGCCAUGAUAGAGAGACAAAUGUGUUGUAAUCAUGAAUGUCAUUUUGUCCUUGCAGAAUUAAUGGGAUGUUGUGGUUUAUGUUAUUAGGCACUGGUAAUAAAGAAAUUUGUGGUAAUCAUAGUGAUUGGCUAGAUAAGGCAUUGUGAAAUAAGGGAAUGAGGAUGUGAUGGAUGGUGAGAGAAUUAGGGUAAAAAUUCAUGAAUCUGAGAGCACAACAAAGAUCUCAGAGGAAAGUGAGAAGGGAAGUUAAGGAUUUAGCUAAAAAGUUAAAACAGUCUGGGUGUGGUGACUCACGCCUGUAAUCCCAGCACUUUGGGAGGCCAAGGUGGGCAGAUCAUCUGAAGUCAGGAGUUUGAGACCAGCCUGACCAACAUGGAGAAACCCCAUCUCUACUAAAAAUACAAAAUUAGCUGGGCAUGGUGGCACAUGCCUGUAAUCUCAGCUACUCGGGAGGCUGAGGCAGGAGAAUCACUUGAACCUGGGAGGCGGAGGUUGCGGUGAGCCAAGAUUGCACCGUUGCACCCCAGCCCGGGCAACAAGAGUGAAACUCCAUCUUAGAAAAAAAAAAAAAAAAAGUUAAAACAACACAAACAACUGGAACUAUGUAGGGCAGUUAAGUGUGCCAGGACUUUGGCAAGAAGACAGGAACUCCCUCCUGUCCCCAAAUAAUGAUGUUUGGGAACUUGGAGUGGUGGUGGUUUACACCCUGCUCACUGUGAUGGAAAGGCUGAGAAGGGCAGUUUGGGCAGAACAGUGAGCAGGGAGCAAUGCACAGAUGGGCACAAUAGGAUUCAAGAAGUCAGGAAAUGUGCAGCAAUGGAAGGCUUAUGGAGGACUGGCCUCCUUGACUAAGACAAAAUGCUAUAUUCUGCAAGUUUUUGCAGUUUAUUCAUUUACCGAUCCAGCUACUAUUUAUUGGAAGGUGACUCUACACUGAGUACUAGGCAGUGAGCUCCUUCCGGACCAGCCCCUGGUCUUGCUCAUUCUGUGGAUACAGCACAUCUGAGAAGGGCUGUGACUGUGCUGCUCCCAUCACACUAGCUGCUGCUGGGAUGCUUCACUGCCUCUCUGAGUUCAAGGGUGAGUUUUUUUGUAGUCUCUUCUCUCCUCUGCAUGGCUCUUGUGCAGCUGGUGGGAGUAGUUGUAGUGAUGUCCUCUUAGCUGAGGUCAUAGCAGUGAUGAAUGAAACAAGAAGGCCAGUUUGUUAAUUUCCUAUGAAGCAACAAGAACUAUAAAUGCCAAAAGGACUGGAUGCCUGAAUCCUCCUGCUGAUCCUUCCUUCCCUGUAUGUAUGCCAUGCUUGAAAAGCUGAACUAUAAUUGGGAAGUUGUUUGGUGAGCCAGAGGCUAGAACAGGAAUAGCUGGUUAUGAGUCCAAUCUUUAAUAGCAUUGGAUAAAGAUGUAUCUAUCUUCAGGACAGUGACAAAACUGCAUUGGGCCACAUACUUUUCCCCGAGGCCUAUCCUGGGUUGGUCACUGCCUGCAUUGACUCUGACUUUCUUUUUAGGCUUUUCAGGCUAUGUAAUCUGUUUCCAGUUGGCCUGUUCUUUCCUCAUGCAAAUUAAUGUAUUUAACCAGAUUAUAGCUUUGUUUUGAAGGCCUGGGCCAUUCUGACAUUUUUGUAGGAUGACAUAUUCCUGUUCUGAUUCAUUAUGUUUUGAUUUAUCUUUUAAUUCUCAGAAGACAGCUUGGUCUUAUUUCCAGAUUUCUGGAUGAUGCUUUCUUGCAGCACUCAAAUCACUGACAAUGCUUUAAAUAUGAAAACUUUAAUAUUAAUAUUCAUAUCCAGUGAUGUAAUAUAUCAUUUUAUUGAAAGUGCACAUGUUCAGAAAGACUGUAUAUUUAUGAUUUAUACCCUGCUUGCUGCCUAAACAGAUUUGAGACAACUUAUAGCCCAGGGAAAUAUUAUAAAUAUGAACAACUUGUAUGGCAUGAGCUCUGGCCACUCAGAAUAGAUGUGCAUCAGAAAUAACUAUUGUCCAUACCAGUGCCUACCAGCUGAAUAUCAGCCCUCCUUUGAGAUGUUAGAGUAUCUAUAAAGCAGCACCACUGUGGCUAACCCAGAGAGAAACAGUGAGGACAACACAAAUUUUGGGGGAGCUCUCAUGGGUAUGAGGGCACCUCCUUUCCUUUUCUACCUUUUCUUUCCUGGUAUCAUGGCAGCUCCAGCUGAUGAAGAACAUAUUCCUUUGGUUUACAAAAUACUCAUGUUUCAUCAAAGCAAAGAAGCCAUUGGUUGUAAAUACACCAUUAUUUUUUAUUUUUUUAAAAUUUUUAUACAGAUGGGAGUCUCUCUAUGUUGGCCAAGGUUGGUCUUGAAAUCCUGGCUUCAAGCAAUCCUCCUGCCUAGGACUUUCAAGGGUGUUGUUAUGUCCAAAGCCAUCUUGCCAUGAGCAGCCUGAGAAUGGAGCCAAUGACUGAGGGUGGCAGAGCAGAAAGAUGGGUCUCACUCUGUCACCCAGACUGGAGUGCAGUGGUGCGAUCUUGGCUCACUACAACCUCCGCCUCCCAGGCUCAAGCGAUUCUCCUGCCUCAGCCUCCUGAGUAAUUGGGAUUACAGGGGCACACCACUAAAGGAGGAGACCACCCCUCAUUUUGUCUUAUGCCCAAUUUCUGCCUCCAAAGAAAGAAGAAGUAAAAACUAAAAUGCAGAAAUGAAAUCCACAAGCAGACAGCCCGGUGCCACACCCUGGGCCUGGUAGUUAAAGAUCGACCCCUGACCUAAUUGGUUAUCUAUAGAUUACAGACAUUGUAUAGAAAAGCACUGUGAAAAUCCCUAUCUUGUUUUGUUCCGAUCCAAUUACCAGUGCAUGCAUCCCCCAGUCACGUACUCCCUGCUUGCUCAAUCGAUCACGACCCUCUCACGUGCACCCCCUUAGAGUUGUGAGCCCUUAAAAGGGACAGGAAUUGCUCACUCGGAGAACUUGGCUUUUGAGCCCCAGCCCAAUAAACGCCUUCCUUCUUUAA